rnacentral:rRNA from 1 species
UACGUAGGUGGCAAGCGUUUGUCCGGAUUUAUUGGGUUUAAAGGGUGCGUAGGCGGCUUUGUAAGUCAGUGGUGAAAUAUGGCAGCUCAACUGUCAAGGUGCCAUUGAUACUGCGGAGCUUGAGUACAGAUGAGGUAGGCGGAAUUGACGGUGUAGCGGUGAAAUGCUAGAUAUCGUCGAAGAACACCUAUAGCGAAGGCAGCUUACUAGGCUGUAACUGACGCUGAGGCACGAAAGUGUGGGGAGUCAAACAGGG